GGAUGAACGCUGGCGGCGUGCCUAAUACAUGCAAGUCGAACGGAGGUUGUAGCAAUACAACCUUAGUGGCGAACGGGUGAGUAACGCGUUGGUGACCUGCCCCGAAGUGUGGGAUAACAGUCCGAAAGGAUUGCUAAUACCGCAUGUUUUCUUCCGGAUUAGAUGCCGGAUGACCAAAGAUUUCGGUCGCUUCGGGAGGGGCCUGCGUCCCAUCAGCUAGUUGGUAGGGUAAAAGCCUACCAAGGCGAUGACGGGUAGGGGACCUGAGAGGGUGGCCCCCCACAAUGGAACUGAAACACGGUCCAUACACCUACGGGUGGCAGCAGUAGGGAAUAUUGGUUAAUGUGCGAAAGCGCGAACCAGCAACGCCGCGUGCACGAUGAAGGCCUUCGGGUUGUAAAGUGCUUUUUGAGGGGAUGAGGAAGGACAGUACCCUCAGAAUAAGUCUCGGCUAACUACGUGCCAGCAGCCGCGGUAACACGUAGGAGACGAGCGUUAUCCGGAUUUACUGGGCGUAAAGCGCGUGCAGGCGGUUCAGUAAGUUGGAUGUGAAAGCUCCCGGCUUAACUGGGAGAGGUCGUUCAAAACUACUGGACUUGAGAGUGGUAGAGGGAGGUGGAAUUCCGGGUGUAGUGGUGAAAUGCGUAGAUAUCCGGAGGAACACCAGUGGCGAAAGCGGCCUCCUGGACCAUUUCUGACGCUCAGACGCGAAAGCUAGGGUAGCGAACGGGAUUAGAGACCCCGGUAGUCCUAGCUGUAAACGAUGUAGACUUGGCGUUGGUGGGGUUAAAUCCAUCAGUGCCGAAGCAAACGCGAUAAGUCUACCGCCUGGGGACUACGGCCGCAAGGU
rnacentral:rRNA from 1 species